GGCGAGCAGCAGGCUGAGAAUGCCGAACGCGCGCACAGACGGUCCACACUUUUUCAAUGUGCUACCAAACGACAAGGCGACGACGCAUUCGUAUGUCAAUCCAUAUCAACUUUCGAUGCCAUUUACUGUGCCUACCAUGGUGACCACUGGUAACAGGGAAUCAGUAUUCGAUUCUGUACAGGGACUCUGACAAACGGCUACCACAUGCAAGGAAGGCA